AUAGUGGGGAGGGGGAGGUGGUGGAGUUGGCAUCACCCUCGUCUUUGGAGGUUGAAACGGUGGUUAAGGUUUCCACUUCGGUUAAGAAAAGGAAGGAGAAGAAGAUUCAAAAGAUGGAAACUGGAGAUCAAUCCGCUGUUACUGCAAAGCAAGAAGACAAGGUAGAAACAAUCGGAAAAGUGGAGACAAUGGAGAAUGCUGAGGCUGUUCAUACCACAC
rnacentral:misc_RNA from 1 species